rnacentral:rRNA from 1 species
UACAGAGGUCCCAAGCGUUGUUCGGAUUCACUGGGCGUAAAGGGUGCGUAGGCGGUGAGGUAAGUUUGACGUGAAAUCUCCGGGCUCAACCCGGAACUGCGUUGAAUACUAUCUCGCUAGAGGAAUGGAGGGGAGACUGGAAUACUUGGUGUAGCAGUGAAAUGACGUAGAUAUCAAGUGGAACACCAGUGGCGAAGGCGAGUCUCUGGACAUUUCCUGACGCUGAGGCACGAAAGCCAGGGGAGCAAACGGG